CCUCAAAGUCGCACCAAGCCUAGACAA
rnacentral:sRNA from 1 species